GGGCGGCCGCGUACUAGUUUCCUUAGUACUUGUGCGUACGUGUCAAUACCGUGUGCUGUAAACUGCUGAACGAAAUGAGAUACUCAUUCAGUUUUGGUCGCCUCUCCAUUAUCUCGUGGUGACGUAAAGGUGACGGCCCGUGUGUUAGUUUCCCCGGUAAUUGUGCCUCCGUAACAUUACUGUGUGCAGCGGUCGUGAGAACUGCGAGGCGGCGGUGCAGACUGUGCCGUGUUGAGCCGCGGGGUGUUGGAAUCGCCUGUUAGUCACCUUGAAGGCGUCAUAUUCCCUCCCUGCUCUUCCCCGUGUCUUCCUGUCGAUGUUGAGGGCGUGGGGGCGGGGCGGCCACAGUGCGCCCCUUCACUGUGUUUAGACAGGAGGAGAGCGGCAUGGCAGCCUGGCGUCCCCGCUCGGCCCCUUCCACGACUCGCAGCGAGAGAGAGAGGUCGAGGUGCGGUGGUCUUGUGGCGGAAGCCUGAAGGAGGCGGUGAAGGAGUGAAGGUGUGAAGUGUGUGGCUUCCACUUCACCAUCCUAUGAACAGCCUGCAGGAAUCUCUAUCAGCACCUGCUUCUGCAAUAUUGGCAUCUGAUUAUCAAAUAGUGCUGUCACGCUGGGCCUGACAUACUCCAUUGCAAUUGGGGAAUCAAGCUUCACCAGGAAGAGAGGCCGAGCAUCACGACCUUCAAGCCUUCAAGCCCUACAAGAGGUGUUAAGUAUUGUCAGGACAAAACAGAGGUCCUGGUACAAGAGUUUUCAUUGCAAUCAAGGAAGAGUCAAGUUGCAGUAAGAAGAGUGUGUCAAGAAUUUUAAGCAGGAGGAAGACUGUCAAGCAGUUGACGGCAGGAAGAACGCGUGAAAUUCCCUUAAGUCGUGGCAGGACCAACAGGCAACCUUCAACACCUGCAGAGGCACAAGAGUUGUGGGCAGUUUCACCAGGAAGAGUUUGCUCCUCACUGAAGUUGACACAAAGACACAAGAAUCUGCAAGUGUUGUUACUCCGAGACCCUGCUGCAAAUGUUCUCCAAUCCACUCCAGUCUGGGAAGGAAGAAUGUAGGAAGUCCCUCUCUUCUGUACUCAACAAGCACCACCACCACCACCACCACCACCUUCAUUCAGGCUUGGGACAAGUUUUGUACAUUCCAGCACUUCAGUAUUAAAGAAAACAAGUGCCAUGUUUAUUAUCCUGUUGUGUAUUUAUUCACUUAACAUUCACAGUAAAACAAUAAACAUUCAGUAUUC